UGAGGAACAUGACCUUCGGCGGGGGAUAGCCGGCCCAACGGCCGGGUAAUACCGCGUACGACCUUUUGGGGACAUCCCCGACUGGUGAAAGCAGCAAUGCGCCGAUGGAGUGCCUCGCGGCCUAUCAGCUAGUUGGUGAGGUAACGGCUCACCAAGGCGACGACGGGUAGCUGGUCUGAGAGGAUGGCCAGCCACAUUGGGACUGAGACACGGCCCAGACUCCUACGGGAGGNAGCG
rnacentral:rRNA from 1 species